rnacentral:tRNA from 2 species
GGAGGCGUGGCAGAGUGGUCGAUUGCGGCGGUCUUGAAAACCGUUGUACCUUGACGGGUACCGUGGGUUCGAAUCCUACCGCCUCCGCCA